rnacentral:ncRNA from 1 species
AGAGUAAAAAUAUGAGCGUUAAGUGUUAUCUGAACGGGAAGUUGUCAGGUAAACGAAAAGUUUCUAACUUGCGGUUCAUAUUUUGCAUUCCGCU